UACAGAGGUCCCGAGCGUUGUUCGGAUUCACUGGGCGUAAAGGGUGCGUAGGUGGUGAGGUAAGCCGGAUGUGAAAGCUCGGAGCUCAACUCCGAAAUGGCAUUGGAAACUACCUUGCUCGAGGGUUGGAGGGGGGACUGGAAUGCUUGGUGUAGCAGUGAAAUGCGUAGAUAUCAAGCGGAACACCAGUGGCGAAGGCGAGUCCCUGGACAACUCCUGACACUGAGGCACGAAAGCUAGGGGAGCAAACAGG
rnacentral:rRNA from 1 species